GCGGUAUCCUAACCGUGCAAAGGUAGCGCAAUCAAUUGUCCCAUAAAUCGAGACUAGUAUGAAUGGCUAAACGAGGUCUUAACUGUCUCUUACAGGCAAUCGGUGAAAUUGAUCUCCCUGUACAAAAGCAGGGAUAAACCCAUAAGACGAGAAGACCCUGUGGAACUUUAAAACCAGCAGCCACCUUAAAACACAUACACACCUACCGGGUUCACUGACACAUAAGAUUCUGGCCUGCGUUUUUCGGUUGGGGCGACCUUGGAGCAAAACAGAACCUCCAAAAAUUAGACCAUACCUCUAGACCAAGAGCAACCCCUCGACGUGCUAAUAGCAUCCAGACCCAAUACAAUUGAUCAAUGGACCAAGCUACCCCAGGGAUAACAGCGCAAUCUCCCCCGAGAGUCCGUAUCGACGGGGAGGUUUA
rnacentral:rRNA from 1 species